rnacentral:lncRNA from 1 species
CAUUUCAAUUGAUCGAUGUAAGUUUAGAGGUAGGAGUUGAAGUUCCAUCAUCACCUCUUCUCUAAUACAGGUAGAGCACGUUAUCAUCUGAUACCACCAUAUUUAUUAGAACAAGUCUAGGAAAAGCAUAUAACAUUUCAAUUUCUUCUUAACAAAAAAAAACGAAAAAAGAAAGAAAGAAAUUAUUUAGAAGUCACUUGCAAAAGGCACCAAAUUAAAGCAAAGCAAAAAAAAAA